rnacentral:rRNA from 1 species
CAUGGCUCAGAUUGAACGCUGGCGGCAUGCCUUACACAUGCAAGUCGAACGGCAGCACGGGUGCUUGCACCUGGUGGCGAGUGGCGAACGGGUGAGUAAUACAUCGGAACGUACCUUAUCGUGGGGGAUAACGCAGCGAAAGCUGUGCUAAUACCGCAUACGCCCUGAGGGGGAAAGCGGGGGAUCGAAAGACCUCGCGCGAUUAGAGCGGCCGAUGCCUGAUUAGCUUGUUGGUGGGGUAAAAGCCCACCAAGGCGACGAUCAGUAGCUGGUCUGAGAGGACGAUCAGCCACACUGGGACUGAGACACGGCCCAGACUCCUACGGGAGGCAGCAGUGGGGAAUUUUGGACAAUGGGGGAAACCCUGAUCCAGCAAUGCCGCGUGAGUGAAGAAGGCCUUCGGGUUGUAAAGCUCUUUUGUCAGGGAAGAAACACCGGCUCUAACACAGUCCGGGAAUGACGGUACCUGAAGAAUAAGCACCGGCUAACUACGUG